UCCCUGGUGGUCCAGUGGCUAUGACUUUGUGCUCCCAAGGCAGGGAGCCUGGGUUCGAUCCCUGGUUAGGGAA
rnacentral:tRNA from 1 species